UUGUUCAGCCAUUCCCCAAUCGAUGGGUGUCCCCUCAACGUACACUUCUUUGCCAUCACAAAAAGAAGCUCAAGAGUCUCGAUGGUGGUCUCGGUCCCUCUCCGGUGGUGUGCUCUCACACAGCCACCACACCUCUGGACAGGACUAUUGCCACAGUCUCCUAAUAGCCUGCCUCAAGGAUCUCCACCCUCCAGUCCAUCUACCACACAGCUGCCAAAGGGACUUCCUGAAGCUCAGGUCUGACCUCGUCACCCCCCAACUCAAUAAACUUUUGUGGCUCCUGUGGAAGUAAAAAUAUUGAUGCUGUACCAUA